UACGUAGGGUGCGAGCGUUGUCCGGAAUCAUUGGGCGUAAAGCGCGUGUAGGCGGUUCGGUAAGUCGGGUGUGAAAGCCCAGGGCUCAACCCUGGGAUGCCGGUCGAUACUGCCGGACUAGAGUUCGGAAGAGGCGAGUGGAAUUCCCGGUGUAGCGGUGAAAUGCGCAGAUAUCGGGAGGAACACCAAUGGCGAAGGCAGCUCGCUGGGACGUUACUGACGCUGAGACGCGAAAGCGUGGGGAGCAAACAGG
rnacentral:rRNA from 1 species